rfam:Dipodomys ordii contig_20874, whole genome shotgun sequence.
GUGAAGGUGGCUCAGUGGUAAAGCGCUUGCCUUGCAUACAUGAGGCCUUGGGUUCAAUUCCUCAACGCCACA